UACGUAGGGAGCAAGCGUUGUCCGGAAUCAUUGGGCGUAAAGCGCGCGUAGGCGGCCCGAUAAGUCCGCUGUAAAAGUCAACGGCUCAACUGUUGAAAGCCGGUGGAUACUGUCGGGCUAGAGUACGGAAGAGGCAAGUGGAAUUCCUGGUGUAGCGGUGGAAUGCGCAGAUAUCAGGAAGAACACCCGUGGCGAAGGCGGCUCUCUGGGACGGUACUGACGCUGAGACGCGAAAGCGUGGGGAGCGAACAGG
rnacentral:rRNA from 1 species